rnacentral:misc_RNA from 1 species
GAUGAAGAACGCAGCGAAAUGCGAUAAGUAAUGUGAAUUGCAGAAUUCAGUGAAUCAUCGAAUCUUUGAACGCACAUUGCGCCCGCCAGUAUUCUGGCGGGCAUGCCUGUCUGAGCGUCAUUUCAACCCUCAUGCCCCUAGGGCGUGGUGUUGGGGAUCGGCCAAAGCCCGCGAGGGACGGCCGGCCCCUAAAUCUAGUGGCGGACCCGUCGUGGCCUCCUCUGCGAAGUAGUGAUAUUCCGCAUCGGAGAGCGAUGAGCCCCUGCCGUUAAACCCCCAACUUUCCAAGGUUGACCUCAGAUCAGGUAGGAAUACCCGCUGAACUUAAGCAUAUCAAUAACGGAGGA